rnacentral:rRNA from 1 species
GAUGAACGCUGGCGGCGUGCCUAAUACAUGCAAGUCGAGCGAACGGACGAGAAGCUUGCUUCUCUGAUGUUAGCGGCGGACGGGUGAGUAACACGUGGAGAACCUACCUAUAAGACUGGGAUAACUUCGGGAAACCGGAGCUAAUACCGGAUAAUAUUUUGAACCGCAUGGUUCAAAAGUGAAAGACGGUCUUGCUGUCACUUAUAGAUGAAUCCGCGCUGCAUUAGCUAGUUGGUAAGGUAACGGCUUACCAAGGCAACGAUGCAUAGCCGACCUGAGAGGGUGCUCGGCCACACUGGAACUGAGACACGGUCCAGACUCCUACGGGAGGCAGCAGUAGGGAAUCUUCCGCAAUGGGCGAAAGCCUGACGGAGCAACGCCGCGUGAGUGAUGAAGGUCUUCGGAUCGUAAAACUCUGUUAUUAGGGAAGAACAUAUGUGUAAGUAACUGUGCACAUCUUGACGGUACCUAAUCAGAAAGCCACGGCUAACUACGUG